rnacentral:rRNA from 1 species
CUAGUAUUAUCUAGUAAUAAAGUAUGUGGAAAAAAUUGAUACUACCAUACUAUUAGUGUUGUCAAAAGCUGGUGCCAGAAGACUCGGUAAGGCCAGAAACGCAAACGUUAAUCAUCUUAAACAGGCGUAAAGGGUUUGUAGGCAGCUUAAAAUAUUUUUAAAAUAUAAGCUCGUGUAAUAUAUUGUUUAAAAAACAAAGUUUACAUAUGUUUAAAAAAAAUAGAGUAAAGAUAGAAUCAAAAAGAGGUUAAAUAUAACGCUUAGUGUAGGGUUUUAAUCCUUAGAACCUAAGAAGAAUACUAAAGGCGAAGGCGGUUAGCCACUAAUGAUUGACGCUGAUAAACGAAGGUGUGGAUAGGAAAUAGGCUUAGAGACCCAUGAACCCCACACAGUCAACUAUGAAUGGUAGUAAUUAGUUUAACUAGUUGCGAUGCUAACGCGUUAACCAUUCCGCCUUGUGAGUACGAUUGCAAAAUUGAAAACAAAAAAAUUAGUCGGUCUCGGAGCAAACGAAGUGAAGCAUGUUU